CNGCCUANCAUGCAAGUCGAGCGGUAACAUUUCUAGCUUGCUAGAAGAUGACGAGCGGCGGACGGGUGAGUAACGCGUGGGAAUCUGCCUGGUAGUGGGGGACAACAGUCGGAAACGACUGCUAAUACCGCAUACGCCCUUCGGGGGAAAGUGGGGGAUCUUCGGACCUCACGCUAUCAGAUGAGCCCGCGUCGGAUUAGCUUGUUGGUGAGGUAAAGGCUCACCAAGGCGAUGAUCCGUAGCUGGUCUGAGAGGAUGAUCAGCCACACUGGGACUGAGACACGGCCCAGACUCCUACGGGAGGCAGCAGUGGGGAAUAUUGGACAAUGGGGGCAACCCUGAUCCAGCCAUGCCGCGUGUGUGAAGAAGGCCUUCGGGUUGUAAAGCACUUUCAGCAGUGAGGAAAGGUGUGUCGUUAAUACCGGCAUGCUGUGACGUUAACUGCAGAAGAAGGACCGGCUAACUCCGUGCCAGCAGCCGCGGUAAUACGGAGGGUCCGAGCGUUAAUCGGAAUUACUGGGCGUAAAGCGCGCGUAGGUGGUUCAGUCAGUCAGAUGUGAAAGCCCCGGGCUCAACCUGGGAAUUGCACCUGAUACUGCUGAGCUAGAGUACGGUAGAGGGUAGUGGAAUUUCCGGUGUAGCGGUGAAAUGCGUAGAGAUCGGAAGGAACACCAGUGGCGAAGGCGACUACCUGGACCGAUACUGACACUGAGGUGCGAAAGCGUGGGUAGCAAACAGGAUUAGAUACCCUGGUAGUCCACGCCGUAAACGAUGUCAACUAGCCGUUGGGGGACUUGAUCCUUUAGUGGCGCAGCUAACGCGAUAAGUUGACCGCCUGGGGAGUACGGCCGCAAGGUUAAAACUCAAAUGAAUUGACGGGGGCCCGCACAAGCGGUGGAGCAUGUGGUUUAAUUCGAAGCAACGCGAAGAACCUUACCUACUCUUGACAUCCUGCGAACUUGGUAGAGAUACCUUGGUGCCUUCGGGAACGCAGUGACAGGUGCUGCAUGGCUGUCGUCAGCUCGUGUUGUGAAAUGUUGGGUUAAGUCCCGUAACGAGCGCAACCCCUAUCCUUAUUUGCCAGCACUUCGGGUGGGAACUCUAAGGAGACUGCCGGUGACAAACCGGAGGAAGGUGGGGAUGACGUCAAGUCAUCAUGGCCCUUACGAGUAGGGCUACACACGUGCUACAAUGGCCGGUACAGAGGGCCGCAAACUCGCGAGAGUAAGCUAAUCUCAGAAAACCGGUCGUAGUCCGGAUCGCAGUCUGCAACUCGACUGCGUGAAGUCGGAAUCGCUAGUAAUCGCGAAUCAGAAUGUCGCGGUGAAUACGUUCCCGGGCCUUGUACACACCGCCCGUCACACCAUGGGAGUGGGUUGCACCAGAAGUAGCUAGUCUAACCUUCGGGAGGACGGUACCNCGGUG
rnacentral:rRNA from 1 species